UACGUAGGGGGCAAGCGUUGUCCGGAUUUAUUGGGCGUAAAGAGCUCGUAGGCGGUUGGGCAAGUCACGUGUGAAAUCUCCACGCUCAACGUGGAGGCGCCACGUGAGACUGCCCUGACUCGAGUCCGGUAGGGGAGCGUGGAAUUCCCGGUGUAGCGGUGAAAUGCGCAGAGAUCGGAAGGAACACCCGUAGCGAAGGCGGCGCUCUGGGCCGGUACUGACGCUGAGGAGCGAAAGCCAGGGGAGCGAACGGG
rnacentral:rRNA from 1 species